UCAUCUGGGAUGAAGAAGCCUUCGUGCUCACCCUGACUGCAGACCUUUUUUAGCAAGGUCUGAACACACAGGAGCAUCAAUCGGACUCUGGACUUCUUAAACUGCAGUAGACACAGACACGUUCACUGAACAAAGGCUCCAGAGCCAUGAAGGGCGGAGCUUGGAUGGGAUAGGGAUCAACAGGGUGGAGAUUCCUGAGGGAAAAACAUCCCCUACUCCUCCAUUGCUCCAUUUCCCUGCCUUCUGGCAACUGCUCAAAUCUCUUCACUCCAGGUGGAGCUUUCCCACUUCCCACCCCAGUCAGCCUCAGGCCACAUGGCUCUCCUCUCCAGCCCGUGGAUGCUUUCUUCACCUUCCUUUUCCAUAGCUCUAUUUAGCCUCUCUUGGUUUCCUCACAAGUCCUUUCCCCAUGGCCAGGGAGGGCUGCUAUGGAGCCAAGGGACAUCCUCCUGGCCAUGUGUGAAGAGCAAUGGCAUUUUAUGUCGGAAUCCUCCCACCUUUUGGGGCUGUGACUUGCAUGGGACGAGGAGCCCACCUGGACCUGUUUUUCCACCCAGGUCCCUGGUGCGGUUCUGGCCUCGCUCUACCCGACACUAUGCAGCUUGCCGUCAUCACAUUGUGUUGUGCUUUUGUUUCUGAGUAUCCUUUUCACCCUCUUCUCACAACAGCUUUUGCUUUCACAUGGAAAGGCAACAAUACACAUGGUCCAACAUAGCUCAGGGGUUUACUGAGGUCCCGUCUCAUCUCUCUGGGUCCCAAAAUGCAGACCUGGGACAUUUUAUCAUCACCUGCAGCUCUGUCCUUAUCCAGCAUAUGGCUGACACUUUUCUCUGCACACCUGAAUAGGCAGCUUAUUUAUUACCAUCCAUUGCUCACUCCCUCCGUCACGCACAAGGGACGUAAGGUCUCUAAAAGCAAAAUGUAAUGAUGCAGCCCUCAAGUGUGCUAGCUCCUCCAAAAGGAAGAGUUUUUCCCUAGAGAAUUAACACCUUUAACUCAUGAAAGAAUUGACAUCAUUAGUUUUCCUCUUCCUGAGACCAAAAGAGACUUUAGUGUUUUAAGGAUUAGUUGGCUAUUGCCGAGAUUGGAUCCCGAGCCUCUUCCCUGUAGUUUCUCUCUUAUACUCGUUGGCCAGGAGAACAUCUCCAAAUUUCCAAGUUGGGACUCCCAUUCCAUCUUUGAGUUUCAAAGUCUCACACCUUCUCUACCCUUUUCUCCUACCCUUGGAGUAUCUAUUCAGACUCAUUAUCCAUUUUCUUCUUUAUAAACAGAAGGGAAAAACAUUUCAGGGGCUCUUGCCCCAAAAUAUAAGGGAAGCCAAAGGCCGUUUUGAAGUACCUUAGAUCUAGCAUCUCAAGCAUUUCGCUCUUGCUCACACACUGCUGCCCAAUCAGCCCACAGCCCUGCUAACUUGGCCGUGAGCCAUUCACUCCAGUUCCACAUAUUCCAUGCAGUUCGGAGCCUUCUACUCACUGACAGCAUCUAACAUUCAUGCACGUUCAUACUUGUCUCCUACAAAACUCUACUACUACUGCCCCUUGAAUUGCUAUCCUCUGCUCUCAAAACCUUAGUCCAGCUUCCUUCCUUCCUUCCUCCUCCUCUGACGGACCACCUCACAACUGCAUCCUCACCAUCACCACCAUCAUCAUCAUCAUCAUCAUCACCAUCAUCAUCACCAUCAUCACCAUCAUCAUCAUCAUCACCAUCAUCAUCAUCACCACCAUCAUCAUCAUCAUCACCAUCAUCAUCAUCAUCAUCCCCUAGCCCUUCCUCACCCUGACAUUGCUGAAACUCCUCUUCAAGACCCUCAUGUUGGAUUCAGGAGAUGAUUUAUUAUUACUUUUUUUUUUUUACUUCAGCCUACAGAUGGGAAAUUUCAAUGAUCAGACUUUCUACAUGCCAUGGAGUUCAGAUUUUAAUUUGGCCCAAGUGGUUAAACAUAACAAUUCCCACCUGAGCUUUCAUGCUGAUGUAAGAUAAGAGUGCUAAUGUUAACACAGAUAGCCAGUACACUCUUGGAGUUGUCAAUAAUGUUUGCGGGAAUGGAAAGAGAGAGGGUUCAGCCAUCAAAAGUGGAACCCUAAUUGCUGAUUUAUGAAAGACUUUCCUACUAUGCAAGAAUUUAGCUAUUCUCAAAAUUGAUAUGACAUCAGUAGUUGGACCCCUAAAGCUAAAGAAAGCUCCUUAUCUGAAAAUUAUUCUAAGAUAGCUACUUCCCAACUCUGCUUAAAAGGUGUAAGCACAAUAACUUAACAUCUAAGUCUGGAAAAACUACCUGGAAAGAAGCUGGACAUUUCAUGCACCCAGAUAAGCUUUGGAGACCAGAAAACAGGCAGUCUGUCCAACAUCCCUCACCUGAAAUUCAUCCAGACCUUCUGGAAGGCUGCACAUUGUGGCUAAUGAAAUCCUACAGGCCUUGGAGCACUUGAUUUUGUUUGUCACCUUGACUGGAUUCUUUGCACCCAGAUAUUUGGCUAAGCAUCAUGUCUGCAUGCUUUUCUGGGGUCUGGCCACUGUGGUGGCUCAGAUACCGGUAAGUGUUAACUCAAUGGUUUGACUCUCAGGUUUCCG
ensembl:lncRNA